UCUAUUUAUCGAGUCUCAACUUUUACCUUCCUAUAUAUACUUUCCUUCUAGUUUGCAAGGAGCAAGAAAUUCCAUUAUAUCUUUCAUUUAUGAAGGCAACUCAAUUACACCUAGUACCCUAAUAAAGGGAUGACGAUUCUAAUAAGGAAAAUACCAUUCCGUGCAUUUGUUGUUUAGGAUGCAACUGCGUUUAAGAAAUAGGUGAUGACAUUUGUAACAAUGAAUGCACGGAGCGUUUCUUAUUAGAAUCGCCAUCCCUUUAUUAGGUUCGCUGUUAAAACCUCCUGGCAAUGUGAAACCAGCUGCAAAGGUGACUGUAACGAGCAGAGUGGCCACCACUAGAUGUAUUUUUGUUGUUGAAAAUAUAGCUUCGAUUUUUGCUUCCCCUUUCAUCCUCUGGAUUCUUUCGUUUUAACCGAAAGUCAUGUCAUCCCAAUCGAUCAGAGCAAAGCUCAAGGUGGUCUUUGAAUUUCUCUUAUUGGCGGAACCAAGUGGAAGUCGAACCCCCUUUGGCGGAAAAAUACACUGUAUAUUCAAGGUUAAAAUUAUUUUUUAUGUACAGUAUAUACGGAGAUGUUGAAUGUCCUUGGCUUCUUCCUGUUCUUACUUCUUCAUGUUUUGAACCCCUUAGUAAAAAUUAUGGCUGCACUAUUGAUCACCAGUUGAUUACAUAUUGUCAAAGAA